rnacentral:rRNA from 1 species
GAUGAACGCUGGCGGCGUGCUUAACACAUGCAAGUCGAACGGAAAGGCCUCUGCUUGCAGGGGUACUCGAGUGGCGAACGGGUGAGUAACACGUGGGUGAUCUGCCCUGCACUUCGGGAUAAGCCUGGGAAACUGGGUCUAAUACCGGAUAGGACAAUGGCUUGGAUGCUGUUGUGGAAAGUUUUUCGGUGUGGGAUGAGCUCGCGGCCUAUCAGCUUGUUGGUGGGGUAAUGGCCUACCAAGGCGUCGACGGGUAGCCGGCCUGAGAGGGUGUACGGCCACAUUGGGACUGAGAGACGGCCCAGACGCCUACGGGAGGGAGCAGUGGGGAAUAUUGCACAAUGGGCGCAAGCCUGAUGCAGCGACGCCGCGUGGGGGAUGACGGCCUUCGGGUUGUAAACUCCUUUCGCUAGGGACGAAGCGUUUUUGUGACGGUACCUGGAGAAGAAGCACCGGCUAACUACGUG